AUGACUUCUUUCAAAGUAUCAUGGUGGAACUCUUCUGACUUCCUCACUUCUUCUUCCGAUCCAAACGAUGUCACCACCUCUAACAAAAAAAUUGCGAUCCUUAUGUUUUUCUUCGAUGAUUCUCUUCUCACAUAUCUGUCUCCGUUUCUUUUUUUGAUCCCUUUCCGUUCGUCCUCAACCUUCCGGCUCAGUUUUGGUGGUUUGGGGUAUGAAGCAGUUACGGUUGAACUAUUGAUGAUUGAAACGUGA